AUUAUUACAUAUAAAAGAACAAUUUUAGUUUGGAAAGAAAUUUCUACACCAAUGAAGAAAUUUUAAGUAAGAAGAAGGGUGACCCAUUAAUAAAUAUCUUAAGGCUUUCAUUGUAAUUAAUAAACAGUCCUUGAUGAAACUGCAAAAUGCGUAAUAGUUUUUUGAUUUUAAUUUAGACUGUAGUAUAACUUUUUUAAAAAAAUUCUUCACAAUCAGUUUGGUCCUGCCCAUUAAAAAAUGAGUGUUGGAGUUCCCGUCGUGGCGCAGUGGUUAAUGAAUCCGACUAGGAACCCUGAGGUUGCGUGUUCGGUCCCUGCCCUUGCUCAGUGGGUUAACGAUCCGGCGUUGCCGUGAGCUCUGUGAGACCUCUCCAAGCCUGUUUCCUCACCUGCAAAAUGUAGGAGUAAUAGAAUCUGCCUCAUAGAGUUACUGUGAGAAUUAAUCCACAUAAAUACUUGCACUUGGGGAGCACUCAAUACAUGUUAGCUGCUAUUAUCACCAUCAACAUUGUCAUUAUCUUCUUCAUUAGUCUCAUUCGCCAUUUAUCUUCUGCUCCUAGCAGGGAGCAUAUGCUCAGUAAAUAUUUGUCAAGUGAAGAAGUGAAUCAAUGAAUCAUACACAAAUGGGUCUGACUACCCUCAGUAUACUUCCAGGUAGGAUUUCAGACAAAUAGAAAAAAUUUUUAAAAGACUCUAAAAAUUAAUGGCACUAAAUUACUCUUAUUUGAACCUGCUAUUUGGAGAUUUAGUCACAAAGUCCUAGUCAUUCUCUGGUCCUUGGGGAACAGGUGUUCUUUCUGUUUUCUUUUUGAACUUCUGGUUGUGCCUAGCACAGAGGUUUGUAUCCUUUCUACCAAAAAAAAUUCUUACUUAGCCAAGUCACUUAAGUUAAAAUCUGAAAAUAAAUGAACAUAGAUUAUAAAAUGGGUAAAUGUUAGAAUACUCAUAAUAUUUAACUACAUUAUCUUAACAAAUCCAGUUUGCAGCAUUUAUGUUUCUUGCAAUGUUGCUAUACAUUGAAGUGUCAUAGUGAGAAUCAUUACUUCUACACUUUCUAGCUUAAAACUGCAGUAAAAAUUAUGUAAAUAGUAACUAAAGAGUUAUAUUUCCGUGAGCUGCCUCACUGUGAGUGGACAACAAAAGUCUCAGGGUGUGUGGCUUUGAAAUACUUCUUUUGUUACUAACUUAAAUCAUUUUCAAUCUCAUAUUCAUAAUAUUUCUCAUGAGAAGUGUUCUAUAUUGAAUAGUGCUGAUAAGUUUUCUAAUUUAUUUCGAGCUUCACUAUGGAAAGAUGCUAUUAGAUUAUAGAGUAGCACUGUUACAUUUAAGGUUUAUACUAGUUCUUUUUUAACUUAUAAAAAUGAAUGUGAACUUCAGCAGCAAAGAGUUUAUUUUUUAUUAAGAUGAAUACUGAAUAAUUAUUUUAACUGAGUGAGGAAAAGAAGGGAUGUAGAUUCAGAGAAGAGUUAAAGUUCUCUUUCUACUUGUGUAUAUUCUUGGUGCAAUUAUUAUUUUUUCACCAUAUUUUCUAUAUUGAAAAUAAACUUAAAAAAACUAAAAAAAUACCCAUAAACCUUGAUUCUCCUUAUCACACCAUUUCUCACAAGUAUACUGACAAAAGAACUGCAGGUCCUAAAAGCUAAAGUCAGUGGUUUUCAAAUGUUUGUGUGUACACUGCAGACUAAGGAGGGGUAUUUGUUAGGAAUGCAGAUUCUUGGGCUACACCCAGGAUUCUCAUCUCUUGGGGUGUGGCUCAGAGUCAAGUGAGAAAAUGUGUCAAGGUAGAGGAAAAGAAACUAACCCAGUAAUUGUUCUAUCUAAAAUCUAAAAACAUUCUUCUAGUUUCUUCUUUGCUUCUUUUUGCCUCUUUUUACUUUCUCUGGACUUGAACAUGAGGCUCUAAUUGUUUCUCAGAUGCACUUCCAACUCUUUCAAAAUUCCAGAAACAAGCUCAAGCUGAAGCUGCCUGGUCAUUUUUACAUAUGCGCUGGACGCAGGGCUGCUGAAAUUCCAAACCUUAAACUUGAAAGGAAGACUAGGAGUUCCCACCUUGGCUCAGUGGAAAUGAAUCCAACUAGGAACUAUGAAGUUGUGGGUUUGAUCCCUGGCUUGCUCAGUGGGUUAAGGGUCUGGUGUUGCUGUGAGCUGUGGCGUAGGCUGCAGACGCAGCUCAGAUCUGGCGUUGCUUUGGCUCUGGCGUAGGCCAGCAGCAACAGCUCCAAUUCAACCCCUAGGCUGGGAACCUUCAUAUGCUGCGGGUGUGGCCCUAAAAAGACAAAAGAUAAAAAAAAAAAAAAAAAAAAAAAAAA
ensembl:lncRNA